rnacentral:rRNA from 1 species
UACGUAGGGGGCUAGCGUUGUCCGGAUUUAUUGGGCGUAAAGAGCUCGUAGGCGGUUCGAUAAGUCGGACGUGAAAUCUCCACGCUCAACGUGGAGGGGCCGUUCGAUACUGUCGUGACUCGAGUCCGGUAGGGGAGUGUGGAAUUCCCGGUGUAGCGGUGAAAUGCGCAGAGAUCGGGAGGAACACCCGUAGCGAAGGCGGCACUCUGGGCCGGUACUGACGCUGAGGAGCGAAAGCGUGGGGAGCAAACAGG